rnacentral:rRNA from 1 species
AUUGAACGCUGGCGGCAUGCCUUACACAUGCAAGUCGAACGGCAGCACGGGUGCUUGCACCUGGUGGCGAGUGGCGAACGGGUGAGUAAUAUAUCGGAACGUACCUUAUUGUGGGGGAUAACGCAGCGAAAGCUGUGCUAAUACCGCAUAAUCCCUAAGGGGGAAAGCGGGGGACCGUAAGGCCUCGCGCAAUUAGAGCGGCCGAUACCUGAUUAGCUAGUUGGUGAGGUAAAGGCUCACCAAGGCAACGAUCAGUAGCUGGUCUGAGAGGACGAUCAGCCACACUGGGACUGAGACACGGCCCAGACUCCUACGGGAGGCAGCAGUGGGGAAUUUUGGACAAUGGGGGCAACCCUGAUCCAGCAAUGCCGCGUGAGUGAAGAAGGCCUUCGGGUUGUAAAGCUCUUUUGUCAGGGAAGAAACAGCAGCUCUAACACAGUUUGCGAAUGACGGUACCUGAAGAAUAAGCACCGGCUAACUACGUG